GCGUUGAAAAGCUCGGGGAUGACUUGUGGGUAGCGGUGAAAUUCCAAUCGAGCCCGGAGAUAGCUGGUUCUCCCCGAAAUAGCUUUAGGGCUAGCCUCAAGGUGAGAGAUACGGAGGUAGAGCACUGAAUGUCCUAGGGGGUAUUGCACCUACCGAAGACUAUCAAACUCCGAAUGCCGUCAUCUUAUACUUGGGAGUCAGACUGUGGGUGAUAAGAUUCAUAGUCGAAAGGGCAACAGCCCAGAUCGUCAGCUAAGGUCCCUCAAUGUAAGUUAAGUGGUAAAGGAUGUGGGAUUGCACAGACAACCAGGAUGUUGGCUUAGAAGCAGCCACUCAUUCAAAGAGUGCGUAAUAGCUCACUGGUCGAGUGAUCCUGCGCCGAAGAUUUCCGGGGCUAAAACUUACUACCGAAGCUACGGCAUCAGUAAUGAUGGGUAGGGGAGCUUCCCAUACGGGUUGAAGCAUGACCGUAAGGACAUGUGGACAGUAUGGGAGUGAGAAUGUUGGCAUGAGUAGCGAGAUGUGGGUGAGAAUCCCACAGGCCGUAAACCCAAGGUUUCCAGGGGAAGGUUCGUCCGCCCUGGGUUAGUCGGGACCUAAGCUGAGGCCGAAAGGCGUAGGUGAUGGACAACAGGUUGAUAUUCCUGUACUACCGAUAACCGUUUGAGAGAAGGGAUGACACAGUAGGAUAAGCUAAGCACACUGUUGGUUAUGUGUGCCCAAGCAUUGAGGCAGUCAAAGUAGGCAAAUCCGCUUUGAUAAUGCUGGGAUGUGAUGGGGAGCGAAAUUUAGUAGCGAAGUAGCUGAUUUCACACUGUCAAGAAAAGUCUCUAUCGAGGUUAAAGGUACCCGUACCGCAAACCGACACAGGUGGGUGAGGAGAGUAUCCUAAGGCCAGCGAGAGAACUGUUGUUAAGGAACUCGGCAAAAUGACCCCGUAACUUAGGGAUAAGGGGUGCCACCAUCAGGUGGCCGCAGAGAAUAGGCCCAAGCGACUGUUUACCAAAAACAUAGGUUUCUGCUAAGUCGCAAGACGAUGUAUAGGAGCUGCCCGGUGCGUGAAGGGUAAUGUGAUCUGGUAGAGCAAUCGAAGCAAAGAACAGAACCCAAACCCCACGGAACGGCGGCCGUAACUAUA
rnacentral:rRNA from 1 species